rfam:Buchnera aphidicola str. Bp (Baizongia pistaciae), complete genome.
AGGGAUGUAGCUCAAUUGGUAGAGUAUCGGUCUCCAAAACCGAAUGUUGGGGGUUCAAUUCCCUCCAUCCCUG